rnacentral:rRNA from 1 species
UGGGGUUGGUGACGGUACCUGCAGAAGAAGCGCCGGCUAACUACGUGCCAGCAGCCGCGGUAAUACGUAGGGCGCAAGCGUUAUCCGGAAUUAUUGGGCGUAAAGAGCUCGUAGGCGGUUUGUCGCGUCUGUCGUGAAAGUCCGGGGCUUAACCCCGGAUCUGCGGUGGGUACGGGCAGACUAGAGUGCAGUAGGGGAGACUGGAAUUCCUGGUGUAGCGGUGAAAUGCGCAGAUAUCAGGAGGAACACCGAUGGCGAAGGCAGGUCUCUGGGCUGUAACUGACGCUGAGGAGCGAAAGCAUGGGGAGCGAACAGGAUUAGAUACCCUGGUAGUCCAUGCCGUAAACGUUGGGCACUAGGUGUGGGGGACAUUCCACGUUUUCCGCGCCGUAGCUAACGCAUUAAGUGCCCCGCCUGGGGAGUACGGCCGCAAGGCUAAAACUCAAAGGAAUUGACGGGGGCCCGCACAAGCGGCGGAGCAUGCGGAUUAAUUCGAUGCAACGCGAAGAACCUUACCAAGGCUUGACAUGAACCGGAAUGAUGCAGAGAUGUGUCAGCCACUUGUGGCCGGUUUACAGGUGGUGCAUGGUUGUCGUCAGCUCGUGUCGUGAGAUGUUGGGUUAAGUCCCGCAACGAGCGCAACCCUCGUUCCAUGUUGCCAGCGGGUUAUGCCGGGGACUCAUGGGAGACUGCCGGGGUCAACUCGGAGGAAGGUGGGGACGACGUCAAAUCAUCAUGCCCCUUAUGUCUUGGGCUUCACGCGUGCUA